UGGCUUAUAGUUCAAUGGAUGAGAACACUUCACUACGAAUGAAGAAAUGAAAGUUCGAAUCUUUCUAAGCCAA
rnacentral:tRNA from 1 species